AGUGAACGCUGGCGGCAGGCCUAAUACAUGCAAGUCGAACGGCAGCACAGUGGAGCUUGCUCCAUGGGUGGCGAGUGGCGGACGGGUGAGGAAUACAUGGGAAUCUGCCCAGUCGUGGGGGAUAACGUAUGGAAACGUACGCUAAUACCGCAUGCGCCCUUCGGGGGAAAGUCGGGGACCGCAAGGCCUGACGCGAUUGGAUGAGCCCAUGUUCGAUUAGCUAGUUGGCGGGGUAACGGCCCACCAAGGCGACGAUCGAUAGCUGGUCUGAGAGGAUGAUCAGCCACACUGGAACUGAGACACGGUCCAGGCUCCUACGGGAGGCAGCAGUAGGGAAUAUUGGACAAUGGGCGCAAGCCUGAUCCAGCCAUGCCGCGUGAGUGAAGAAGGCCCUCGGGUUGUAAAGCUCUUUGUUGGGAAGAAAAGCAGUUGGUAAUACCCGAUUGUUCUGACGGUACCCAAAGAAUAAGCACCGGCUAACUUCGUGCCAGCAGCCG
rnacentral:rRNA from 1 species